rnacentral:rRNA from 1 species
UACGUAGGGGGCAAGCGUUGUCCGGAAUUAUUGGGCGUAAAGAGCGUGUAGGCGGUCCGGUAAGUCUGCUGUGAAAGUCCAGGGCUCAACCCUGGAAGGCCGGUGGAAACUGUCGGGCUAGAGUCCGGAAGAGGCGAGUGGAAUUCCCGGUGUAGCGGUGAAAUGCGCAGAUAUCGGGAGGAACACCAAUGGCGAAGGCAGCUCGCUGGGACGGUACUGACGCUGAGACGCGAAAGCGUGGGGAGCAAACAGG